rnacentral:rRNA from 1 species
AACUUUCAACAAUGGAUCUCUUGGCUCUUGCAUCGAUGAAGAACGCAGCGAAAUGCGAUAAGUAAUGUGAAUUGCAGAAUUCAGUGAAUCAUCGAAUCUUUGAACACA